rnacentral:rRNA from 1 species
GACGUAGGGGGCGAGCGUUGUCCGGAUUCAUUGGGCGUAAAGCGCGCGCAGGCGGCCCGGUAAGUCGGAUGUGAAAUCCCACGGCUCAACCGUGGAACUGCAUUCGAUACUGUCGGGCUAGAGGCAGGUAGGGGAGAUCGGAAUUCCUGGUGUAGCGGUGAAAUGCGCAGAUAUCAGGAAGAACACCCGUGGCGAAGGCGGCUCUCUGGGACGGUACUGACGCUGAGACGCGAAAGCGUGGGGAGCGAACCGG